rnacentral:rRNA from 1 species
AGAGUUUGAUCCUGGCUCAGAACGAACGCUGGCGGCAUGCCUAACACAUGCAAGUCGGACGCUUCAUGGCUUCGGUCAUGGGGAGUGGCGCACGGGUGAGUAGCGCGUGGGAACCUGCCUUUCAGUGGGGGAUAACCGAGGGAAACUUCGGCUAAUACCGCAUGCGCCCCGGAGUGAUCCGGGGAAAGAUUUAUCGCUGA